UACGAAGGGGGCUAGCGUUGCUCGGAAUCACUGGGCGUAAAGGGUGCGUAGGCGGGUCUUUAAGUCAGAGGUGAAAUCCUGGAAGCUCAACUCCAGAACUGCCUUUGAUACUGAGGAUCUUGAGUUCGGGAGAGGUGAGUGGAACUGCGGAGUGUAGAGGUGAAAUUCGUAGAUAUUCGCAAAGAACACCAGUGGCGAAAGGCGGCUCACUGGCCCGAUACGUGACGCUGAGG
rnacentral:rRNA from 1 species